AGAGUUUGAUCCUGGCUCAGAAUGAACGUUGGCGGCGUGGAUUAGGCAUGCAAGUCGCGCGAGAACCCGCAAGGGGGACAGCGGCGAAAGGGACAGUAAUGUGUAGGUAUCUACCCUCAGGACUGGAAUAGCUGCGGGAAACUGCAGGUAAUGCCGGAUAAUGUCUUCGGACCAAAGGUGUGAGUCCGCCUGGGGAUGAGCCUACAUCCUAUUAGCUAGUUGGCAGGGUAACGGCCUACCAAGGCAAUGAUGGGUAGCGGGUGUGAGAGCACGACCCGCGUCACUGGGACUGAGACACUGCCCAGACACCUACGGGUGGCUGCAGUCGAGAAUCUUCGGCAAUGGACGCAAGUCUGACCGAGCGACGCCGCGUGUGGGAUGAAGGCCUUCGGGUUGUAAACCACUGUCAGAGGGGAUGAAAUGCCGGUGGGUACUCCCAUCGGUUUGACAUAGCCUCAGAGGAAGGACGGGCUAAGUUCGUGCCAGCAGCCGCGGUAAGACGAACCGUCCAAACGUUAUUCGGAAUCACUGGGCUUAAAGGGUGCGUAGGCUGCGCGGAAAGUUGGGUGUGAAAUCCCUCGGCUUAACCGAGGAACUGCGCUCAAAACUACCGUGCUCGAGGGAGAUAGAGGUGAGCGGAACUUAGGGUGGAGCGGUGAAAUGCGUUGAUAUCCUAAGGAACACCGGUGGCGAAAGCGGCUCACUAGAUCUCUUCUGACGCUGAGGCACGAAAGCUAGGGUAGCGAACGGGAUUAGAUACCCCGGUAGUCC
rnacentral:rRNA from 1 species